rnacentral:lncRNA from 1 species
CAGACACGGCUUGGAUAUGGCGUUGCUGUGGCUGUGACGUAGGCCAGCGGCUACAGCUCCGAUUGGACCUCUAGCCUGGGAACCUCCACAUGCGGUGCAGCCCUAGAAAUACAAAUAAAUAAAUAAAUACAUAAAUACAUAAAUAAAUAAAUGUAGUUCAGCCUAUGGUUUAUUAUUUUAUGUUCUUGGAGUACAUAUAACAUAUUAGACCAGAUUUAAUUGUCAUAUGGUACUUUAAUCCUGUAGAUACAACCUUAGUUGGUAAGUUUGAUCUUGAUAACUAACCAUUUUUUAAAUUUUAUUUUAUUUGUAUUAGAGUAUAGUUGAUUUACAGUGUUGAGUCAAUCUCUGAUGUACAGCAUAGUGUCAGUAAUGCAUGUAUAUUAUACAUUCUUUUUUCUCAUACUAUCCUCCAUCAUGUUCUAUCCCAGGAGAUUGGAUGGACAUAUUCUUGAUGUAUGUCACUGGGAAACCUGAUCUACACAUUUUCUAUUAUAAACUGGAAGCAAACCGAGCCACUGUGCUUACAAACUGGCAUUAGUAACACAUAAUAUUUUAGUGAAUCAAGAUUCUUUUUUAAAUAUCAAGCUGAAGCAGUUACUCAGAGAAAUCAAAUCAGUGUUUUUUUUAAAAGGUAAAGAAAUAUUUUAGGUAUAAGAUACAAUUUACAUGUCCUAAUAUAUUUUUAUUUACAGGGAAUACACAUUCAAGUCAACACACAUGGCACAUAUACUCAUCUCCUGAGAAACCAUAGAUUGAUGUUUCAAUUUGCUUCAGCCUCUUCUUUUUAGAUAGCCACAAGCCAUGAGCAAACCCUUGGAAUUGCAGUAAGUAUAGUAAGUGUUUUUAUGUCAAAAGUUCAAGCAGAGCUGUUUCCAUUUAAAAGAAAGUCAAAACAUUACAGCUCAUUUUAGUUUCUCUUAGAACGUUGGGCGAUAUGUUUCUAACUCCAUUUUAUUACCUUGCUACUUCUCUUUACCUCUAUCCAUGAAUUGAAAACAUAAUCUUAAGUGCCCUUAUAGGAGUUUCAGUUUCCAAAAACUGAUGCAUCUUUAUAGCUAAAUACUUUGACACCAUUUCUCUCUAAAACUGGCCUUUCAAUAAAGGCCAUAUUUUAUUUUAAAGGGGGAGAAGAAGCCAUAUCAUAUCUCCAAUGGAAAGAGUACUUUCUAUUUCUUGAUUGAGGUUGGUGUAUGCAUGUUCUAUUGAGUCUUCUUAUCUAAACCUAUUUUCACUAAAGGACCAGAUCAAGUCGUGUAUACUAAGGUGUAAAGAUUGAAAGAAUAUGGUAAAAAACACAUUUAUUAAACUAAAUAAUUAAAAGUUAAUAAUAGUGACAAUUAUGACCAACUGUGUGUGGUUCAGGUACUGUGAUAGACACUUUUUAUGAUCUUUCUUGAUACAACUAUUUCACCAAGUAUAUAUAAAGAAUAUCUUGCUGGCCAGGCAUUAAUCAUGUUACUCCUGGUAGUUAUAAGAUUUCUUUGAAGCAAACAUAAUCAAAAUGCAAAAUUAUUCUCUAAUAAUAAUAAUAAACUACAUAAAUUAAUGCCCACUUAAUUAUUCCAUCACGGUAAAUACUAGUUUCACUCUCUUCCCAUUGUUCUGUCCUAGUCAUAAUCCAGUAUUUUAAUGAAGACAUUUGAGUUCAUCACAACUGUAAAUUUUCCAAAAAGUACUAAUUUUCAUGAAAUGAAUAAAAACAAUACUGGAAACUACAUGUGAAACCAAUGAAAAAUGGAAAUCAUGCAGAGAUCAGUUAGUAUUUGAAUAAGAAAACAUUGACUGGAAUAAAGACAGUCCUUCAGAAAACUGAUGAAACCCUUGUGUAUUUUUUUCAGAAAUGGCUCUAUUAAUCAGUAAGCAGACAAAGUAAAUAGUUUGGCAUAUAAUAUAAUGUUGUUAUAAGAUUUUUCAGGAAAAAUUACACAAAAGGAAAAUCAAAAUCAACAUCAAAUAAGUCUUUGUUCUGAGAAGUAAUGUGUAGUUCUAAUUAUAAAUAUAAUUUUGUUAAAUGUAAGAUAAAUAUUUUAUAUGGAAUUCCCAUCAUGAUGCAGCGGAAACGAAUCCAACUAGGAGCCAUGAAGUUGCGGGUUCAAUCUCCGGCCUUGCUCAGUGGGUUAAGGAUCUGGUGUUGCCGUGAGCUGUGGUGGAGUUCGCAGGCAUGGCUCAGAUCUGGUGUUGCUGUAGCUCCAGCGUAGGCCGGCGGCUACAGCUCCAAUUAGACCCCUACCCUGGGAAUCUCCAUUUGCUGCAGGUGCAGCCCUAAAAAGGACAAAAAGACCCCCCCCCAAAAAAAAAGAUAAAUAUUUUAUAUAAUUUUAUUUUUUCAAGCUUUGUCCCAAUAAAACCUUUUAUUCACAAUAUGCAAUGUAUUUUUGGUCUUUUAAAGUGUAUUCAUUUAAGUGGACUUUUCUGGUGCUAUUUACUUGUGAAAAAUGAGGACUUCCUGCAUUGUCGUCCCUAUAUUUAGAUGAAGAAACUGAAUUUCAGGGAAAUACAAUAGCUUGCUCUAUCAGUCAGGGUCCAACCAGGGGACAAAAACUACACUAGUUUUUUGAGCAAAGACAAUUUAUAUAUAAGAAAUUGUUAACUAGAUAUAAAGAUGGUUAACUUGAUCACUGAAAAAGUGAAAGGAGAACACUAAGUUAUCACGGAGUUAACAACUACAGGAAGCAACUACCACACCUAGGGCUGGAUGAAGAGAGGAAUUUGGGGUUAUUUCAACUAGAAACUCAGAGAAAGAUCUCCAAGGCAGUGAUUCUCAGACGUCUGCAGAGGGGCACAGGUGGCAGGUGGUGGUGGGGGAAGAGGAGAAGCAGGUGGGAUGAGAUUGGUUUUGUACAUAUUAGAAAAAUGAGAUCCUGGAUUCAAAUGCUACAAUGGGAAAGACCUGCUGCUUCCAGGAUAUUACAGCUUCAUGGGAGUAAGUAUGGGACUCAAAGGAACAGGAAAUUGAAAAGAAAACCAACAGAAAUUAUGCAAGAAGUAGGUCUCUUCUUUCUCCUCCAGCUUUGCAGUCUCCUAAUCAUGCCCAAUAUUGGCAGAGCUGAACACAUAGCCAAGCUGGCAUAGCAGAAAUGUGGUUUGCAGAGUCCCAGCACCAGCAUCACAAAGAAUAGAGAAGGGUGGUUAGAGGCUGAGAAAGAAUAGCUUAAAAAUUGGCACAGUAUACCUUUUAAACCAUUCAGCAUCCAUAAACACCCUUCUUCACAUAUUUGAUCUUCUAUACAACUAUGUAAACAACUCUGUGUUUCCAGAACCAACACUAUCCUUCAUAAAAUCAAAGACCUUCUCAUAUUCUCACCCCAAACGAGGGAACAAGAAAUAACAACAGCCAUUGCUUUAUUUUAGAGGCUGACAACCAGGGGGAAGUUGGGCAGGGAGGAGAGAGGGCAUACUCGUGUCCAAAGGCCAUCUCCCCUCACUGACAAUCAGUGGGUGAGAGUUUUAAAGAGGAGUUUGAGAGGUGUAUAGUUAGAGGGAGGAGGCUACAUACAGAAACAGCACAGUCAGCUCUGACAGUCAUCUUGAAAUUGGUCAUGCAGUGAUCUGACCAGCAUCACCUUGAUUGUUUUAAGUACAGUAAGCCUUCAGUUGCAGGGUCAGUUUGUUCCCAUUUCUUUGAGGCCAGUUAUUAGAAUUAUGGCAGCUUAUGUCAUGACUGCAGUCUGGUCAUCAUGUAAUUACCUUUUUCCACCUGGUGGAGGUUUUAGUAUCUACAAAGCAGUUCAAAGGAUAUGGCUCAAAAUAUUAUCUAUAGCCCUUAAAGAGGACCUAAAGGUCCUUGAGUUUGUUUAUGACUAAACUAUUAGUAUUUUCUCCUAUGGGACUGUUUCUAUUUCUUCUGCAUUUUCUCACUUCUCUGAUUAAACUUUUUCUUUGGCUAAAGUUUUUCUGCUGACCACAGGCAGGUGAAGGACAUGUGGGGGAGGGGGGAAUCAUAGGGCCUGCUCCUUUUCUCUGGCGAUGGUAGAAGCAAGAUUUGAAACCCAAAUUGUCUACCUCAAAAUCUAGAGCUUUUCCCAAUGCACCAAACUAUCUCUCAAUACUAAAUUCCUACUUCAGACCAGUAGAGACACUGCUUCAGAGCAAUAUGAGGUGAUUAUACCUAAAUAGCAUAUAAAGUUAUGACAGAUUUUUUUUUUAAAUCUAGGGAAAAUAAGCAGAAUAAUCUAAUUCCAACUGGAGUCUUCUAUUAGCAGAUCUGGUAACAAUUAAAUUUUGAGAAGUAAACAUCAUAACAAAAUCGUCCUACAUUAUCUAAAGAGUUAGAAUAAUCCUCGCUUCUAUAGCUCUUUAUCACAUUACCCAAGUAUUUAAUAUAGUUAUUACUUCUGACAGUUCAUUAUGAUCUUGUCUGGUAAAUUAGCCACAAUAUUGGAAAGCAAGAGAGCUAGAGUGAGAGCGAGCAAAGGAGAGCAAUUCAGACUCAUUUUUGGAACAUUCACACACAGGAAAGACAGAUUAGUAUGUGGCUUCUGUUAUACAGCACCAUGACAAUACAUUCGUUGUUGGAAUACUUCUGAAGAAAUUUUAAAAUUUUAUGUUUCCUAUAUGAUAAUAAAAAACAUUAUGGCAUGCUGCUACUGAUGAGAUUUUUCCACCUACAGCCAGCUGUGUACAAAUGAUAGAUUUUUAACUUAUACUGUUCAACCUAUUGUUCUUUUUACUUGUAAGUAGAUGAGGACACAAAAAUCACACCAACUCUUAUGAAAAACUGUUGUUUAUUUUUUUCCUGGAGAUGAAAAAGUGUAUAAAUUUUCUCUAGUGAUCAGGAAAUACAAGAGGAGGAUCAUAUAUGUUGGAAAAUUGGACUUAUGUUUUGAUAAGGUAUAAUGCUCUAAUUAUUUCACUGAAAGUAAGGUUUAAGGGCUAAGGUACAUAAAUGUUUGAAGAAGGUGAGGAAAGGAGCAUAAAGAAUGGAGAAUGAGAGGUGGAGUUAAAGUGGCUGUGUGUGAUUGGUUUGCUUUGUUUUGCUGUAAUCAGUAUUUAUGAAGACCUUUAUUGGUGAUGUAAACUAUAGGGCUUUCUGUCCUUGGGCUUUUUUACUUGGGAUUAUCAUCAUUGUUUUGGGAAUCCCACCUCAUAUUUUAUCUUAAGAAUAUUUCUCUGUAAGGAUAUGUUUUAUUGUUUUUAAGCAUUUCUAAUUUAUUUGAAAGACCUUGUCUGGCAUUAUGACAGCUUUAUCCAUAUGUUUAUAUCUUUAUUACGACUGUAUACAUUUUACUAUUUUAUCUUCUAUUAUAAUUAAGUAACAUUUUAGGUUAUGUUACAUUUUGGCUUUCCUAUAAAAAUUACCUGUCACAUAGUAGGUGCUCAUUACAUAAUUUGUGAAUGAAUUAGAGAGGGAAUGAAUGGUGAAAGAUAGAAUAGACAACCUCUUUGAGAGUGGGACUGUUUUAUUUAUCCAUGUGUCCUUGAAUUUAGCACAGUGUCUGUCACAUAGUAGGGGCACAGCUAAAUGAAUGAAAAUGAGAGGUGAGGAUUUAUGGAAUAAUUGUGAAGAAAAAGCCACCAGGGUGCAUUCAAAAGCAUACCGAUUUGGAACUCAGGCAGUUCUGAGUUUUAAGAAAUAAUUCUACCAGACUGUGUAAUUUUAAAUAAGUUGUUUCAAUUACUUGAGCUUUAGCCUCUCUCUAUUAAUGACAAGAAUAUAUUUUCAUAGGGUUGUUAUGAGGGUUCAAUGGUAAUGAAUGUAAUAUACCUAAUGGCGCUCUGUACAGAGUUGAGUUUUUUAAGGAGUUGGAUGAUGAAGGCACUAUAAACAACUAAGAGAUAGGAGUUCAACUGCCUUAUUGGAUAACUGAAGGAACAUUUAAUAUGACAAGUUUCUAUACCACAGGCAAGCAGAAACAGAGUCAAUGGCCAAAAAAGAUGUUCUUGGAAAGAUUCCGGCAAGAAAAAAAGAGGUUACAUAUAGACUAUAUUAUAAUUAUUAGAUAAUGCCAAUGCAUUUUUAUGGUAAAUCAUUUGUUCUGAUAUUUUCUCUUCUCUGACACUACUGAAGAAUGCUAAUGAAGUGAUUAUGGUUUGAGGAUAUUUGGAUCUAGUUUUCAUAAUCAUAUGUAUUUGCCUGGUAGCAAACAUAGUGUGCAUAUUUUGCAUACUUUUCAUCUAACACUUUCCUCUAUUAUUAAAGUCAUAGUAUUAUUUUAAUGACUAUAGAAUGUGGGUAAUAUCACUUACCUAUCCAUUCUUAUAAUAAAGAUUUUUGAUUAUAUUUUCAUAAAUCUGAACAAUAAAAUAAGCAUCUUUGUGCAUUAUUUCCUUGUGGAAGAUUUCGGGAAAUAGGAUUUUUGGGUCAAAGCAUUUUAACAUUUUUAUGGCUCUUGACAAAUGUCUUUACAAAAAGAUUACCAACUUACCAUAUAUGACAAUAUUUAAAAUGCUCUAUAUUCUCUUCUCACAGUAAGUAUUCCAUGUCUCUAGCUAUGAUAUUUUGGGUUGCACAUUUCUCGUUGGUACCUUCCAAAGUAUUCUGCCUCCUUUUGUGGUAGUAAUUUUUUUUUUUAUGCCCACACCUGUGGCAUAUGGAAGUUCCAGAGCCAGGAAUUGAAUAUGAGCCACUGGGAGUUCCCUUCUGACUGGGAACCAUGAGGUUGCAGGUUCAAUCCCCGGCCUCGCUCAGUGGGUUAAGGACCUGGCGUUGCCGUGAGCUGUGGUGUAGGUCGCAGACACGGCUCAGAUCCCGCAUUGCUGUGGCUCUGGCAUAGGCCGGCAGCUACAGCUCCAAUUAGACCCCUAACCUGGGAACCUCCAUAUGCUG